rnacentral:rRNA from 1 species
GAUGAACGCUGGCGGCGUGCUUAACACAUGCAAGUCGAACGGAAAGGCCAGUGCUUGCACUGGUACUCGAGUGGCGAACGGGUGAGUAACACGUGGGUGAUCUGCCCUGUACUUCGGGAUAAGCUUGGGAAACUGGGUCUAAUACCGGAUAGGACAACUUUUUGGAUAUUGUUGUGGAAAGCUUUUGCGGUAUGGGAUGAGCUCGCGGCCUAUCAGCUUGUUGGUGGGGUAAUGGCCUACCAAGGCGUCGACGGGUAGCCGGCCUGAGAGGGUGUACGGCCACAUUGGGCCUGAGAUACGGCCCAGACUCCUACGGGAGGCAGCAGUGGGGAAUAUUGCACAAUGGGCGCAAGCCUGAUGCAGCGACGCCGCGUGGGGGAUGAAGGCCUUCGGGUUGUAAACUCCUUUCGCUAGGGACGAAGCUUUUUUGUGACGGUACCUGGAGAAGAAGCACCGGCUAACUACGUG